rnacentral:lncRNA from 1 species
GCCAGUGGCCCAAUAUGGGGCUCUCCGGGACUUUGAUCUCAACGAGAUGCUGCCGUGGGAAUGAUUUUGAGAGCUAGCUAAACCCUAGCCAGCCAUGGGAUAUUUGUCUGCAGCUUUGGAGUCUGAGCUACUAUACACAGCGUAAGCAUCAUGUGCCUGCUCCAAGCUAGUAGCAGUGUGUUUCAAUGUCAGUGUCAGUGUCUGUCAGUGUCAUUUUAAUUUUGGUAUGGUUUGUCACUAUUUAGCUAGUCCGUCCAUUCAUCUUGCUUGGAAAUGUAGAACUUGGGUUUUCCCAGUCGAUCCAUUCCAUGGUCUCUCUGGACACUGGAGAUAUAUAUAGAUCACCUGCAGCUGCAGGUAAAAUGCUUCUGAACACCGAUGUACACGCUAGCAAGACUGACAUGUCCGGCUUCGUUGGAGUUGAGAAUUUUGGAUAUAUAUACAUCCACUUAAUAUUGGUGUACUGUAGUUAAAUGAUUGUGAGGUCGAAAUGUAGUUCUUUCGGUCAGAGUUCUUUGUCGCCCCUAGUUUUUGUGUAAACAGUUCAUAAUAUUCUUGGUAAUGCAGGUUCACUAGAG